ensembl:lncRNA
GGAUUUUGUCAUGUAGAUUUCUUCAGUCCAGCACUUUUAUCAAGCAUAUGAAAUUUAGUGCAGAUUGAACAUGGAAUGUUUGAGUUAGUAUAAAGCAUGUUGUGUCCUAAUGCCAACAGGUGGCGCUAUGAUUAUAACUGAACAUUGGCCUUUAGAUAUCUUCAGGCCAUGACUCUUAUCAAAUAUUUGAAGUUUGGUGCAGAUUGGACAUUGCAUGUUUAAGUUAGUGUAAAAUAAGCCAUUUUCUGUUGUCAGCAGGUGGCGCUAUGAUUAUAGUGGAAUAAUGACCUUCAGAUGUGUUCAGGCCAAGACUCUUUUCGAACAUGUGAAGUUUGGGGAAGAUCGGACAUCUUAUGCCUGAGUUACAACAACUUCUAUUCCCAUGGCGAGAAAACGAACUUUGUCACGGCGCCAUGGCCACACCCUUUAAU